AAUGAUAACAAUGAUCAUUGUUACAUUAUAGUCAUGGAAUAUUAGUGUCUGAAGUUUAAAGGAACUUCUGCAUGCUGUCCUUUAUCUCAAAGUAGGGAGCCCCUAGGGAUACAGGGACACUUUAUGGGACUACAUUUGAAAGAACCAGGAGUGGAUACAGAUGAUGCCUCAAGGAAGGGGCCUGUUUUGCUCACGGGGUCUCCGAAGUCCAGUAGUUUUGCCAGAGACCAGCCCUCAGCGAUCAGGGCACAAAGCCAGUCCAGGACGGCAGAAGCUGUUCUCUGAUUGUGGGACAUCUCCCUAGGGAAGGAGCAGUUUCACACCCAUGUGCUUUAGAAACUGAGGCCCACAAAAUGUAAGCUCCAAACUCCAUCAAACAGGUCUCUGUCUAGAACGCAGUGCUUAAAACAUGAAUAGACCCCAAAUAAACACUCAGGUACAUCUUGCUGGAUGAGCAAGGAGACAUUGACUUUAAAAUAAGGAACUAGACAAGGAUGGAUGCCAUUGCCUUUAUUUUCAUUAUUAUUUUGGAGCUUCUAUACAACACAAGAAGACAAGAAAAUAAAGUCAUGAAGUUGAAAAAAGUCAAAUAUAUCAUCACUUUCAGAUGAUGGGAUUAUAUAUAAAAUCAAAGUAACAU